rnacentral:lncRNA from 1 species
AAAUGUGUUGAUCAGCUUGAUUUUUGUUUAUAGGCCAAAUUUUAAUAGAACAAACAGCCCAGGCUUCCAGAAGAAGGUUCAGUUUGGAAAUGAAAAUACCAAACUUGAACUUAGAAAAGUUCCUCCAGAAUUAAAUAAUAUCAGCAAACUUAAUGAACAUUUUAGUCGAUUUGGAACAUUGGUUAACUUACAGGUAAGAGCUAUAAAAUGAUUCUCUUGUCCCUGCUUAAUUAUUUAGGGACCUUAAUAAGAAAACCACUUUUAUAAAGCAAUAUUAUGGAAAUUUGUUAAUAUUCUAAAGUUGGGCAUUAUAAUAGUCUGUUUUCAGUUACUGUAGUGAAAUACCUGAUGCAGGCUAACCAGAGACGCAUAUUUAGCUCUUAGUUUUGGGGGCCGAAAGAUCAGGUUGUGCCAUUGGCUUGUCCUCUAAUGAGGGCCUAAGGGUGGAUGGUAUUACGAAAUGGGAAUACAUGUGAGAAGAAGUGAUUACAUCUCAAAACAUGAACUGAUGCAGUCGUGCUUGCUAUUGUGAGAGCUCAGAGAUCCACAAGAACUAUCUAAACAAAUUCCUUAACCCUUCUAAGUGCUGUUCCCCUGAUAACCUAAAGAACUCCCAUAAGGCCCCACUUCUUAAAGGUUUACACUAUGUCCCAACAUCAUUACACUAAGAAUAUAGGCUUCUAACACAUGAAUGCUUAAAGGGACACACUCAUCCCAUAUCCAAACCACAGCAGACAUGAAAUGAAACUACCUUUUAGAGAAAAAAAAAAAAAAAAAAAAGAUUGAUUGAUAAGUUGUUGAUUUAUACACUGAGUUAUAUCUCCUGCCCUUUUGGACUUUUUAUUUUGAGAUAUGGCCUUACUGAGUUAAGUUCCUCAGUCUCCUUCGUUGCUGGAGGGCAAGAAUUUUGAUUGAUGAUAUUAGUAUAAAUAUUUUACCUAAUAAAGGAUGACACAAAGUUAAAUAAUCACUCUACUAAAAUAUAAUUUAGUAGUUUUCAGUUCCUGAGUUUUUCUAGAUCAUAUUGUCAGAAUCAUUUCAGCAAAAUCAUUUGAGCAAAUAUAUUUCUGUAAUUUCUGUGAUUGGAUGCACUUAACAGUUAAUUUUGGGAACCAGUGUCAUAAUUUGUAACUAAUUUAAACAUGUACUUUUCUCUACCACUUUUGAACAUUCUUUAAGAAAAACAACAAUAUAAGUUAUGUUUGAUGUCACUUAAAAUUUGUCCUUGGGUAUAUAAAACUUGGGAGAUUUUUAAGUAUUAUUUAACUUAUGUGACAUGUUGAAAGUGUUGUUUUCCCCCUUAUGCCUACUUUUCAACUAAAUUGUUUUAUAAUCUAAUAAAAUAAAUUUUAGAGGAUAUAGCUCAUUCUGAGUUGAUCUUUAGAAACUUUUCUUUUAUAAAGCACAGGUAUAAAAGUAAUGGAGGGGAAAAAAUGCAUGUACAGAGUAGAGCAAUAGAAAUGAAUGCAGAAUUUUAAGGAAAUGUUUUCUUUUUAACUUGAUGUUUUCCACACAUUUCUCUACCCAUAUAAAAUAAUAUAAUUGUUAUAAUUUAUCAUUUGCUGUUCUAGAUUGUUUUUAUAUACCUAUUGCUGUGUACAUGCAAAAAUUUUAAAAAUGUUUAUGGGUCCAUAGUAUGUACAUUACCCUGUAGUUAUUUAUAGUUAUUUACUUUGGAAUAUUUCAGUAUCUUUUUAUGGCAGUUCAGUUUACUCUACCACAUUUAUAUCUAGACAUAAAAAAGUUUUCAGAAUAUUCCUUUUUUCAUACAAACUUCUGUGGUUGAAUGCAUUUAACAGAUAAUUUUGAGAUAUACAAAAUUAACUACACUGGUAAUAUUAAUUUAAAAAUUGUUUCAAAGCAAAACAUGGUAUCUCCCUAUUGUUUCUGUUUGCAUUUAUGUAAUUACUAAUGAGGUUAAUAUCUUAUUUUUGUUGUUCCUUUCCUGUGUCUUCAUAGUACUUGCAUUAUUAUGAUUUACAAAAUACAUGUUUUGCAAAAUCAUUAAAAGUACCCUUGUUAUCAUAAUUAAAAAUUGAUGUUAUUCUAAUAAAUGUUAUAAUUAUUAAAAUGCCACCUAAAAUUAUUUUUAUAGUUUUAGCUAAUAUUUAUUGAAUAUGUGCUCUUUUUAAGUGUUAUUGCUGUAUUCUUAAAACAACACUAAUAAGUGGGUAUUGUUGUUAUUAUUUAUAGAAGAGGACACUGAGGCACAGAAAGAUUAAGUGACUUACUUGCUCUUAUGUGAGAGUCAAAUCAGGAUUUGAGCCAGGCAGUGAGAUUCAGACCAUGCUGUUAAUCUCGAUCCUUUACUGCUGUUGCCUGUGGCUUAUAUACCACACUUUCGAAAAUACUGCUAUUACGCAAGAAUAGGAAAUUGGGAGUGAAAAUCUUGGAUUUUUUUUUUUUUUAUUAGUUGUAUGAGUCUAUCUCUAGAAACAUUCUUUGAAUCUGUUUCCUAUGUGUCAAAUGUGAUUGAUGGUGCUGUUAUAUAGGUCUUUUUAUUUUCUUCUGAUCUUAGAAGUAUUGUGAAAAUUACAGAUUUGAAAUAUUGUACAGAUGUUUUUUUCUAUGUUAUUUAGUUGGAAAUCACCCCUUCCAAAGUAGUCUUUGCCAUCACAUUCAUUGAUGUACAGAAAUUUUUUCUCUUGGUCUGUAUUAAAAUUUGAGGUAAAAAGAGAAAUAGUUUUAAGGGUCUGUAUAUAAUAUUUGUGCAAUCAGCUUUGCUGGUAAACAAGAGUCUCUUUUAAUGCACUAACAAUCCUUGGCUAUUUACUAUUUCUCCUGAAAUAAAAGUAGACUAUGGUCAUACUUUAGAUAUAAGGUAAACAAAGAUGGGCAUCUUACUUGGAAGGAAGAGUGUAUGACAUCUUGAGGAAUUUUGCUGUAUGAAGAAACAGAUUCCUUUAGAAAUUCACUUUUCUUAACAUUUUAAAUCAUAGGUUGCAUAUAAUGGUGAUCCUGAAGGUGCCCUUAUCCAAUUUGCAACAUACGAAGAAGCAAAGAAAGCAAUAUCGAGUACAGAAGCAGUUUUAAAUAAUCGCUUUAUUAAGGUUUAUUGGCACAGAGAAGGAAGCACCCAGCAGUUACAAACUACUUCUCCAAAGGUAACGAGAGAGA